ACACAAACGUAUAUGCUAGAUUAUAUCAGCCAAUGAAUAAACAAUGUAUGGUUUUUUUUUUCCUCCCAUAGUUACUUCCUGUCAGGUGAUCAGUGAAAGAGCACACAGAACUCAACAAAAUGUCCGCUCAAGGGCUCUCUGUGCCAAGGCAUGGCUGUGUGUGAUCUAAACUUCAGACCCAUUCAGGGGCUUUGGUGGGCUCUGAAUAGGGCAGGGGGGAAGCCAACAACCUGCAAUCAAAUCAGGACUACUGCUUUCCUAGGAAACAUUGCAAAUACAGGCUAGAGAUAACAGAUGGAUAACCCAUUAGGAAUAAAAGGACUGACAGAGGUAUAAAUGGCUGUAAGGCGAAGAUGAAAAUGCAUAAAGUCCUUUAUCGCGGGCGGAGUGGGAUGUGAGUGACUCUCGACGCGGCUCCGAGCUAUUAGGGAACUGUGCAAAGUGCAAUCAGACGGACACGGGAUGGGGAGAUCAGAGGGAAGCAGGUCGAUGCACAGGGAUUGAUGCACAGGGAGCAGGAACUGCUUACGAAUCGGCCCAGUAGACUCGUUGCUCCUCAAACGUGACACAAGCUGACGUCUAAAGGUGCCAGAAGCUAGAAUUCCAAAGCAGCAUCAGACCCGGCUCUCUUGGGCCCAUCAAGGAACCUGACUGUGGAAGUAUAUGGUGCUAAAUGUUGGGCUGAUGGGAAUUGUCAUUAGCUAGGGGCCACUAGGGUCUCUGAUACUUAACUCUGACCUUGUUCCAAGGUUUAGGCCCAUGCAGACCUCUUGCUUCUCCAGUGUGACACAAGCUACCUGUUCCAAAGCAAGUGUUGGACUAGUUCUCAAUCAAAGAACCUGACUGUGCCCACACACUAAUUGUCCUUGGCAAGGGCCCACUAGGGCCUCCGGUGCUCAACUCCAACAAGGUUUAGUGUUACCGCUGCUGAGACAUUUCUAAAAAUGAAUAUUAUAUUGAUAAUUGAUGCAACGCAGCAAGACCCCGUCAUUACAAUUUCAUGCACGAGGCCCAUAAAGACUAAUUCACUUAGAUGUGGGAAUUCUCCCUGUCAAUCAAUGUAUAAAUAAUAAACCCCUUUGGGAAAGAAUAGGGAAUUUGUGCCAUAAAUAAAUAAACAUAUAUACCUCCUAACGCAUGGCCUGGGGAUCAAGGAACAAGGGGCGAGGCUCAUUACAGCUCAACCUUUGAUUCCAGGGUUUAUUUAAUGAAUCACCCUUAUUCCCAAUCAGUUUAAUGUACUUCUUAAAUCCUGCCCUGCUGAUGACCAUGAAAAAAGUUUCUUAUAAUGUUACACUGGUUAGGGGUGUCUUCUCUAAUCAGAAUUUGGUACCAAAUGUAAACUGUAAUACAGAUCAACCAAUCAGAAAGGAGCGCUGAUAGGAAUAACUCAUCUGUAUUAAUAGAAGAAAGAGUUUGAUUCGUUACUGUGGGUUAUUAGGGCAAAGCUGAAGUAAUGUCCAUUAGAGUACCCCUUGUUGUUAAGCUGGCCAUACACGGGCAGAUUUAAG